rnacentral:misc_RNA from 1 species
GAAAGCCCCAAAAGCAUCAGGUCCUUCAAAGCUGUUCAGAGGAAUUGCAGCAAACGGAUCGAAGGUGGUAUUAUCUUCAGGCUGAGUGUUAGGUGUCUUUGCUUCAAGAGUCGAGGAAAAUUGAGACCCCCCCAUGAGGUCUAUGUUCGAGGUAAAUGCAGCAGGAAAGGCAGGUUGAGUAGCAAACAGAUCAAUGUUGUUCUGAGUAUGGGAACCCUCUGUUGCUUCAGCAAGAGGUGGCACUGAUUCAAAAGCAACAUCAGCAAAGAGAUCAUCUUCAGGUGUAACAGCAGUGUUUAAGAGAGUUGCUUCCCUUGGAACUGGGGCUGGAGCAUCCAUGAGAUCACCUACCAAGCUUUCUCCAAAGAGAU